rnacentral:tRNA from 1 species
CAGAAAAUAGUUUAUUUAAAAUAUUAAUUUUGGAGAUUAAAGAUGAAGUUAUUUUUUUUUCUGA